UGCGGGAUCGUCUAACGGUAGGACUCAGGACUUUGGAUCCUGCUAUCAUGGUUCGAAUCCAUGUCCCGCAG
rnacentral:tRNA from 1 species